GGUAAUUUGAUAUUUUUCUUUCCAAUUCCAGAUCUUCCUAGCAUUUUGAUGUUUGAUAUGGUAUUUUCUUCUUACUUUCAGUUGCUUGCAAUAAGAUGGAAUAUAUAUUAUAGAAAAGUUAGGCAUUAUUCAUUACCUAUUCUGAGCAUGUUUGGCUCUUUAGUCGAAUGUAUUGGUAUCAACCUGGCUUAACACUGGUGUGAAAACAACAUCAUGUCCACAUCAGUAGAAUUUUGCACCUGACCUAUUCUCUUUCUAAUGUUUGAUGUAAAAUGACUUCGCAGCAUGAGUGCACGCAAGAUAUGAAAUUUAACACACUCUGGAUUGUUACCCCAUCUGUUUCUUCUUUCUGUUGACUGUUAACCAUCAAUAGAGCUUUCUUUCUUGGCCUUCAAAUGGCCACAUCAGCGAUGGAAUAUCAAGUGGACUAAUGAUAACUGGUAUUGCAUUAACAGUCAACUAAUGUUUUUCUGUAUUUGCAUCGGAUUUCUGAGAAUCUGAUGGGUUGGACUGGUACACAUUUGUAUAGUAUCUGAAUCCUUGCUAUGAAUGUAUUGCAUUAUAUUAUUCAAAUAUUAAUGCUGCUCCAAAUAUGCAUGCCUUAGGCCC
rnacentral:lncRNA from 1 species